rnacentral:rRNA from 1 species
AUUGAACGCUGGCGGCAGGCCUAACACAUGCAAGUCGAGCGGGGUUUUCGGACCUAGCGGCGGACGGGUGAGUAAUGCGUAGGAAGCUACCCGAUAGAGGGGGAUACCAGUUGGAAACGACUGUUAAUACCGCAUAAUGUCUACGGACCAAAGUGUGGGACCUUCGGGCCACAUGCUAUCGGAUGCGCCUAAGUGGGAUUAGCUAGUUGGUGAGGUAAUGGCUCACCAAGGCGACGAUCCCUAGCUGGUUUGAGAGGAUGAUCAGCCACACUGGAACUGAGACACGGUCCAGACUCCUACGGGAGGCAGCAGUGGGGAAUAUUGGACAAUGGGCGCAAGCCUGAUCCAGCCAUGCCGCGUGUGUGAAGAAGGCCUUCGGGUUGUAAAGCACUUUCAGUAGGGAGGAAGCGUUGUGUGUUAAUAGUACACAGCGUUGACGUUACCUACAGAAGAAGCACCAGCUAACUCUGUGCCAGCAGCCGCCGCCGUA